UUCAACCACUUAAUUUUUGCCAUGGGGGGUUUCUGUGAAAUUGUUUGUUUGAAGAUGCAUAUGCUUGAUUAUAUAUUCAAAUCCAAGAUUACUUUUCUUUCGAACAAAUCAUUAAUUAUCUGAAUCCCGUAUAUAAAGCCAAUAGCCAACUAACUGGAAUUAGCAUAUCAAACACAAAUAAGAAGAAUAGAGAUCGAUGCGUCUUUACCAUUUUCUGCUUCUUCUUCUUCUUGCCAUCUCUCUUUUCACGCUGUCCUCCCAUGCCUGUGCAGAGAUGACGACCAUGAGAAAACUGGCUGGUGCAUUGCCACGUGCACCACCUUCACCAGAGGCAUCUAAUCGACCACCGAAGCAUUAGAAAUUUUCCAGAAUAAUCAAGAGAAUGAUAUAUAUAAUAGAGAUCAUCUAUGAGUUUUGUCUUGUCUGGUCUGGGACCGGGAGUAGCUGGGAUGAAAAUAUGUACUUCUUGUUUGUUUGUUUGCUUAGUCUAGGGGUUUUGUUUCCUCAUAUAUGUGUAUGUAUCUAUGCAUGAAUAAAUGGAUCCAUGGUUUUUUACAUGUCUUCUUGCUUCUCAUCAAGCUCAGUGCUCUUGUAUGAGUCGCAUAUGUACAAGGAUAUAUAUGCCAUUGUGAUGUUGUAAUUUUUUUGUGAA